GGCCCUUGAACUCACUGGCUCCACCUUUUCCAUGAACAUAGUUUCAAUUUGUUCUUUAACUUAUGGAAAAAUACAAGUAUUCAGAUUAUACCAAGACCAUGAGCAACAGGUGCUCACAGCUGUUGCAAACCAGGACUGAAGGAGGUAAGACAAGGCAAGGGACGUCACAUUAGGGCCCAGCAGAAUAGGAAUAGGGGAGACCCAGGG
rnacentral:lncRNA from 1 species